UGCGUAGGUGGUCGUGUUAGUCGUCUGUCAAAACCCGGGGCUCAACCCCGGAUCCGCGGACGAAACGGCACGACUCGAGGGCGUGAGAGGUACAUGGAACUCAUGGUGUAGGGGUGAAAUCCGUUGAUAUCAUGGGGAACACCGAAAGCGAAGGCAAUGUACUGGCGCGUUCCUGACACUCAAGCACGAAAGCGUGGGUAGCGAACG
rnacentral:rRNA from 1 species